CCUACGGGUGGCAGCAGUGGGGAAUAUUGCACAAUGGGCGCAAGCCUGAUGCAGAGACGCCGCGUGAGCGAUGAAGGCCUUCGUGUCGUAAAGCUCUGUCCUCAGGGAAGAAUAAUGACGGGACCUUAGGAGGAAGCCCCGGCUAAAUACUCGCCAGCAGCCGCGGUAAUACGUAGGGGGCGAGCGUUAUCCGGAAUCACUGAGCGUAAAGGGUGCGUAGGCGGCCCUGCAAGUCAAGAGUUAAAUCCCUCGGCUCAAACGAGGUCAGCUUUUGAAACUGUAGGGCUUGAGUGCAGGAGAGGAGAGCUGAAUUCCUAGUGUAGCGGUGAAAUGCGUAGAUAUUAGGAGGAAAACCAGUGGCGAAGGCGGCUCUGUGGACUGCAACUGACGCUGAGGUACGAAAGCGUGGGGAGCGAACAGGAUUAGAUACCCCUGUAGUC
rnacentral:rRNA from 1 species